rnacentral:lncRNA from 1 species
CAGCAAAUGUCAUUUAAGAACAUGUUAAUCUGAUUUCCAAUUCCAUGAUCAUGUAGGUGGACACUGUUCGUGCCAUAUGCAAUGGUCUUGUCACCGGCAUCAGUGACACACAUGGAGAUCUUUAACAAUGUGCUCAUGACUAAAGGUUAUAGUAGAGGGACUAAUGUCCCCCCCCCCCCGCCUCAAAGAUAUCUGCAUCCUGAUCCCCGGGACCUGUGAAUAUUUACCUUCUCUGGCAAAAGGGACUUUCCAGGUAUGAUUAUGGGUAUGGAUUUCGAGAUGGGAGAUUAUCCUGAAUGAUCCAGGUAGGACCAAUCUAAAUCUCACUUAUGCUCAAAAGUGGGAGAGGGAGGCAGAGGAGUGCGUCUGAAGAACGUGAGGUGGGGAACUGACCUAUUGCUGUAGCUUUGUAAAAUGGAGAAGAGGGCUGUGAGAAACAAAGGCACCUCUAGAAUCUAGAAAAGGCAAGGAAGCAGAUUCUGCCCUAGAGCCUCGAGAAAAGAAUGCUGCCCUAUUAUAACUUUUUUUUUUUUUAGCUCAAUGAGAUACGUUUGAUUACUGAACUAUAGAACUGCAAGAUGAUAUAUUUUUAUUGUUUUAAACCACUUUGACACCUUUUCAAGUGUCAUCUAACAUUUCAAGUCAUCACAUCUAACAUUUAUAUAAAUAGAAGAAGAAAAGCCCCUUAAUUUAUAUCACUUAGUAACAUCAAACAUUUUUC